rnacentral:rRNA from 1 species
UACGUAGGGUGCAAGCGUUGUCCGGAAUUAUUGGGCGUAAAGAGCUCGUAGGCGGUUUGUCGCGUCUGCUGUGAAAACGCGAGGCUCAACCUCGCGCCUGCAGUGGGGUACGGGCAGACUAGAGUGCGGUAGGGGAGAUUGGAAUUCCUGGUGUAGCGGUGGAAUGCGCAGAUAUCAGGAGGAACACCGAUGGCGAAGGCAGAUCUCUGGGCCGUAACUGACGCUGAGGAGCGAAAGUGUGGGGAGCGAACAGG